rnacentral:rRNA from 1 species
GACGUAGGGCGCGAGCGUUGUCCGGAUUUAUUGGGCGUAAAGAGCUCGUAGGCGGCUUGUUGCGUCGACUGUGAAAACCUGCGGCUCAACCGUGUGGUCUGCAGUCGAUACGGGCAGGCUGGAGUUCGGUAGGGGAGACUGGAAUUCCUGGUGUAGCGGUGAAAUGCGUAGAUAUCUGGAGGAACACCGGUGGCGAAGGCGGCGUUCUGGACUGCUACUGACACUGAGGAACGAAAGCCAGGGGAGCAAACGGG